rnacentral:lncRNA from 1 species
UUUUUAUUUUUUUUUCUUUGUACAGUCGUACCUGCAGCACAUGGAAGUUCCUGGGCUAGCAGUUAAAUCAGAGCUACAGCUGAGAUCUAUGCCACACCCACAACCUACAAAAUUUGUGGCAAUGCCAGAUCCUUAACCCACUGAGUGAGGCCAGGGAUUGAACCCUCAUCCUCAUGGAUACUAUGUCGGGUUCAUAACCAGCUGAGCCGCAAGGGGAACUUCCACAGGAGUCUUUUUUUUUUUCUUUCCUUUUUUUUUUUUUUGGCCGCUCCCACAGCAUAUGCAAGUUCCCAGGCCAAGGAUCAAACCCAUGCCAAGGCAACAAUCCCAGCCACAGCAGUGAUAACACCAGAUCCUUAACCAAAAGAGAACUCCAUCCCACAGGAGUUUUUUGAAUAGGCUGUAUUGACAGCUACAGCUUUAAAAGACAAGAGGUAGGCUGAUACGCAGCCAGAGUCAAUGGUUCAACCUCUGUAGGUUUCUGGAGAUUUUUUCAGGAUAGCUCCCUCCUCUCAAUUACUCUGUUUCACAAAUUCUAGCUGCCUUGAUCUCCUGGAAUGCUGAUCUAUGUCUUCACCUCAAGGAGACUGCCAGACUCUGAGUUCCCACUCCCUCUGUAGUUGGCUGAAAUUGCCUCCAGGCAGAAAAUCAUAAAACUCCAUUUGUGUCUCUUAUCAGGGAUCACAAUCCUGUGCUGGGUGUUGUCUGAUAUCUGAAAAUAGCUGUUUUCUAUAUUUUGUCCAGUUUCCUAUUUAUUGGUGGUAGGAAGGCAAUUCCAAAUCAUCCUGCUCUCUUAUACGUGGAGAAGUCUCUCCAAUGACAUUUUGCACCUCACUAUAAUAAUGAGUAAAUUAGUCUUUUAAAAGUCUCAUGGAGGAGUUCCUGCUGUGGUGCACUGGGUUAAUGAUCCAACUUGUCUCUGUGGAGGCACCAGGUCAAUCCCCAGUCCGGUGCAGUAGGUUAAGGAUCUGAUCUAGCAUUGCUGCAGCUGUGGCAUAGGUUGCAGCUCUGGCUUGGAUUCGAUCCUUGGCCCAGGAACUUCCAUAUGCCACUACUGCAGCCAAAAAAGGAGAAAAUAAGUCUUAGAGGGAGUUUACUUGUGGCUCAGUGGGUUAAGUCACUGUUGGUUACAGCUGUGACAUGGGUUCAAUCCUGGCCCAGGAACUUUUGCAUGCCUCGGGCAAGGCCAAAAAAAAAAAAGAAAGAAAGAAAAGAAAGGAUACAUUUUACCAGUUUAAAAAAAUAAAAGUCUUAUAAAAUUGUUUUAAAAAAAAAUAAAUGACAGGAGUUCCCUGGUGGCACAGCAGAUUAAGGAUCAGGCACACUGCUGUAGCACGGGUUCCAUCUUUGGCCUGGGAACUUCCACAUGCCAUGGGCUUGGCCAAAAAUAAAAAUAAAUGACAAAAGAAUAUAAAAGGAAGUAGGUAACAAUAGACAGAAUACAUAAAAUUAAAGAAAUCACUGAUUAAAAAAUAAUUGCCUGGGGCUCAAGGAGAAGAUAGGAAUUCUUCAUAAGUUAAAGGUAAAAUAUUGUUUCUGGUUGGUAUGGCAUAUAUAGUUAUGUGUGUGUAUCUCUCUCUCUCUCUCUCUCUCUCUCUCUCUCUCUCUCUCACACACACACACACACACACACACACACACACACACACACGACAUUCCCUGUAGGUAGAAUGAGAACCUAAAAACCCAGAAGCCUCUCAAUUACUUAGGAAAAAAUUUAAUAAUGGAAUGGUGGGUAAAGUAUAUGAAGAGUUAAGACAACCAAUGACUUCCAAUGAAAAUAUGAAACUUCGACAGCCAUCAAAAGAACAAAAAUAAAAUAAUUACAAUUGAUCACAACAUUGAACAAAACCAACAACCAACUUCUCCUAUGGAUAUUUCCUUAGCCUCAAAGUGCAAAAAAAAAAAAAAAGCAUGUUGGAGUUCCCGUCAUGGCGCAGUGGUUAACGAAUCCGACUAGGAACCAUGAGGUUGCGGGUUCAGUCCCUGCCCUUGCUCAGUGGGUUAACGAUCCGGCGUUGCCGUGGGCUGUGGUGUAGGUUGCAGACGCAGCUCAGAUCCCGCGUUGCUGUGGCUCUGGCGUAGGCUGGUGGCUACAGCUCCGAUUCAACCCCUAGCCUGGGAACCUCCAUAUGCCGCGGGAGCGGCCCAAGAAAUAGCAACAACAACAACAAAAAAGACAAAAAAGACAAAAAAAAAAAAAAAAAGCAUGUUAAGAGAAUUCCAGUUGGUUCUCCCCAGGAUAUGCCCCCCAAACUAACUAUAGUGAAUCUUAAUUUAGGGAAUGAUAUCUCUAUAGCUGAUAAAUAUAGAUGGAAACUAACGUUCGAAAAUAUACAAGCGCAGAGAUAAAUUUUACAUAAAUUGUAAUUUUUGUUCAGAUAACAUAUAUAACAAUUUGUAGUAUUUGUAAAGUUAGAGAAAACAUCUAGUUUUAGUAGCAUCUAAAUAUAAGACCUAUUGGGCUGUGGGAUGGAAAUACUGUGAAAUCAGAUUGUUAUGAUCAUUAUACAACUACAGAUGUGAUAAAUUCAUUUGAGUAAUAAAAAAAUGAAAAAAUAAAUAAAUAAAUAAAUAAAAGACCCAUACUAAAACAGUAGUUCAAGAAUAAGCAAUUCUAAAUGACCAAUAUUUCAACUAUUUAAUAAAAAUGAAUUACUGUGUAACUACACAUAAGUAAUGUGUCAGAGGCAGUAACUGGUGUCCUGGAUAUAAGAACCAAGCACCCGGAUUUCAAACACCUUGUCUUCAGUUUAAUUCCUAUAAAAAUGGUCAACAGAUUAAAUAAUCUAAUAAAUAUUAAAUUGCUGUAAACUUAUAAACAUAAUUCUGACAAAUCUGAAACACUCAUUUAAAUCACAAAAGCUUGGAGUUCCCGUUGUGGCACAGUUCCCACUAGGAACCAUGAGGUUGUAGGUUCGAUCCCUGGCCUCGCUCAGUGGGUUGAGGAUCUGGCAUUGUCGUGAACUGUGGUGUAAGUCGCAGACACAGCUCGGAGUUGCUGUGGCUGUGGUGUAGGCUUGAAGCUACAGCUCUGAUUAGACCCCUAGCCUGGGAACCUCCAUAUGCCUCAGGUGUGGCCCCAAAGGACAAAAAAAUAAAUAAAUAAAAAAUUAAGAGUUUUACUUUAUUCCACACUUGCCUUCUGAAACUAGGUUAAGAUCUUUAUCAUGACCACCCUCUCCUAUGCCGCAUUAUCAUGACUUAAACAGUUCUGCUUUUACCAUAAAACUCUUACAGCGUAGCCAAAAAUCCCCAAAUGAUUAAUGAACUGCUGAGAAUUCUGACUCGUUAGAGAUGAUUUUAUUAGGAAUCAUAUUUCCAAACAUCCAUUCAGUGCUUCAAAAUAAGUACUCAUCUAAUUUAAUUAUGAUGACUUCACCAGACAGUAAUACUGCCCACAAUCAUGUUUACAAAAGCACUUGUCACUCCCUUCAGAUGUAGCAAUGCAGAAAAAGGAGUCUGUUUCCAUAUUCUGUUUAUACUCUGUAACAAGUGACAGAGCUUAAGUGUCACUUAAGAUUAUUUAAACAAAGUACUUCAAGUUGAAUGUGACCCACCAUCUUUCAUCGAAGCGAAUCCUAAAAUCGUUGGGUUUUAUUUCAACAGUAAUUUCCACUCAGUACCUGAGACAGGUAUUCCAAGGCAGCCUUAGCAAGAAAAGAGACUCCAGGAUGAGACUGUAGGAUUCUGUUUUAGCUCUAAGAUAACAGGCUCCAAUUAAAGUAACUUCAGUGGAGGUUACUGCAACAUCAAGGCACGUCGGAAAUAAAUGUGCCCCCAAAGGUACACCCGCACCCGCAGCCAGGAAUCAGCAAUAGCCAACCAAGGAAGAUGCUGCAGCAGAGUUUCUCCUAACAGCCUACCACUGACCAAGCACUUGCUGUUUGGUCAUGCACAUCAUCCUGUCCUAGCUUCACAACAACCCUGUGAAGUACGCAUAAUUAUUCCCAUAUACAAACCCGGAUACUUUAGUCCAAGGCCCCAGGGCUGGUCAGUGGCGGCGCUGGGAUUUGAAAAUACGACU